UGGGGAAUUUUGCACAAUGGGGGAAACCCUGAUGCAGCGACGCCGCGUGAUUUAGAAGGCCUUCGGGUUGUAAAAAUCUUUUCUAUGGGAAGAAAAUGACAGUACUAUAGGAAUAAGGACAGGCUAAUUACGUGCCAGCAGCCGCGGUAAUACGUAAGGGCCGAGCGUGGUCCGGAAUCAUUGGGCGUAAAGGGUACGUAGGCGGGUAAGCAAGUUAGAAGUGAAAUCCUAUAGCUCAACUAUAGUAAGCUUUUAAAACUGCUCAUCUUGAAGUAUGGAAGGGAAAGUGGAAUUCCUAGUGUAGCGGUGAAAUGCGCAGAUAUUAGGUGGAAUACCGGUGGCGAAGGCGACUUUCUGGCCAUAACCUGACGCUGAGGUACGAAAGCGUGGGUAGCAAACAGG
rnacentral:rRNA from 1 species